GGGGCGGCCGGGAUCGACUGCCCGCUGCCCACGGGAGGGACGCGGAUCGCAGGCAGGCCGACGGGCCGCUGGCAGCCGCUGUGCGCCACCGGGCUGCUUUCCAGCGCCUGCCCUCCUGCACCGAGCCCCCUGCUUCUCCUCUCCGCCCCUCUCGGGACUGGCGGCUGGGUGGAGGGCUGGGGACUGAAGUCGGUGGGCCUCCCACGAGCCCCCUGCUUCUCCUCCCCCGCCCCUGCCCCCGCCUAGCCAGGCUCUCCCAGGCACUGCUGCACGCAGCCCGCCCGGUGCGGGGAAUGACAAUGUGGCCGAUCGCCCCGCGGAGCUCAGCAGAGGAUUGCGACGGGACCGGCCACCACCUGUCAAUUCAGGCUCCCAUCUAGAGUCUGCAAUUCAGCCUGCCUCCUCCCCCUGGGGACCUCGGCGAGCCCGGGGCAGCCUACGGGCAGAGCGCUCCAAGGAGAGGGGAAGCAGGCCCAGAGAAGUAGGCAGUGGGGAGGAGGGGAGCAGGCUUCGAGCACUGCACCCGCACCGCACCGCACAGCACCGCACAGUGCAGGAAAAUGCUUUUGUGGAAAGGAGCCCGCCAGCCUGGGAAGGCGAUGAUUUGUGGGACUCGGUGCGAUACUGCGUAGGGGAGCGUCUGGGACAACGAGAAACUCCUAGAAAAACCGCAGCCUGCACACCCUGGGACGGGCUUGGGGCGAGAUGUGGGCGAGUGGCAAGCGACAGACUCGGGCUAAGGCUCUGUCUGGCCUUUCUGUUAAGAUUUUGAUGGGGAGGAUUGCCAGGGGACCAAACAUUUCCUUUCCUCUACGUUCUAAUCCUUUAGAAACUCUGUGACCCUGGAAAAGUCACCCAACCUCUCUCUGCCUCAAUUUCCUCAGCUGUUAAAUGAAGGAGGGAGAGGUUUGAUGUCUUCCGUGAUCCCUCCCACCUCUAAAUCUCUGCUUCAAUAUAACUUUCCUUCCAGAAAGUUGGAACAUGAAUCCUUCCUCCAAUAAUAACGAACAAGUGAGUCUGCCAGCCUUUGCUUGAAGACCUCCCGUUAUGGGGAGCUCACCACCUAGCUCAUUCCACAUUUGGACGGGUCUACUUUUUGGAAAUUUUUCCAUUACAUCAGUUUGUCCUGUAAUUUCUAUCUAAUUAAGCCUAUUUGUGCCUUUUGGGGACAAGCAGGACAAGUCUCAUCUCUCUUCCUCCAGAGUACUUUACAGACUUAAAGACAGCUAUCAUUCCACACCCCCCCCCCCCGUCGCCCCCCCCCCCAAUCUUCUGUUCUCCAAACUGAAGUUCUCUAGCUUCUUCUUACGGAAGAGAAGGAAAGCUGGGUUAAGCAGGAGCCAUUAUUUAAGGAUCCUAUGGCAAGUAGGAUUUUGAUGGCCAAAAUGGAGAUGGUCAAGAUUGAGAGCUGGAAGGAACCUCAGAGAUCCCCCUUAUUUUACAGAUAAGGAAACUGAGGCCAUGAAGGUCAACUGGGUUGGCCAAAGGCCUUCAAAAAGUAAGACUCUGAAUCUGAACCCGGGUCCUCUGAAACCUAGAAAAGAAAAUGGCAAACCACUCCUGUAGCUUUGUCAAGAAAACCCCAAAUAUGGUCGUGAUGAGCUGGAUGCUACUGAAAAAAUGACCGCAGACAAAUAACCUCUGAAUUCAGAGCCGCUGUCUACUGGGCCAAGAUCCUACAUAGGAGACUCUGCCCUACCAACUGUGGGACUUUGGGUAUAUUAAUUCAUUUUGUUCCUCAGUUCAUUACCUGUGAAAGGAAAGGGUUGAACUAGAGGGACACUGAGACCUCUUCCAGCUCUUUUUUUUUUUUUUUUUGGCGGGGCAAUGAGGGUUAAGUGACUUGCCCAAGGUCACACAGCUUGGUAAGUGACAAGUGUCCGAAGCCGCAUUUGAACUCAGCUUCUCCUGAAUCCAGGACAGGUGCUCUAUCCACUGGACCACCUAGCUGCCCCUCUCUUCCAGCUCUUAAUCCCAUGAGCCUGCCUCCUUAACCUGAGUCGCCUCCAUCUCAUUGUGGCCUGGAAAUUGCUAGCUAAUGGGUGCCUGGGCUUACUCCAGUUCAUUCUGCCAGAGUCGGGCAUCACUCUGCUGCCUUGUAACAAUUGUUACUCUACAGCCCAUCCAUUAGCUGCACUAUUGAGGCCUGUGCCAAGAACUUGUAAUGUCAGAUCACUGAGGGCAGGGCUGAAAGCCAACAACUGCUUCCAUGUAAGACCCUUGCUGACACAUUUUCUGUCACUACAAAGGGUCGUUGUUCAAGGCCUCUUUUCUAGAGGACGGGUUCUGUUUGCAUCACCCAGAAUCAGUUUAUAUUGAUCUGCCCAUGCUUCUCUGAAUCCUUGAGAUGGAUUUUGAAGUACAAAGAAAAGAAAAGCAUCCAGUUGAUCUGGGAUAUAGAGCAUUUGAUGGGGGAAGAAAAUAAUAUGUCUGAGUAAUAUUUCAUUAUAUUCAUGUACCACAUGGUCAUCCAUUUUACAGUGAAGUUUGUUUUAUAGUUCAUUGCUACUACAAUCAUUUCUGCUUUUAAUAUUUUGGUAUAAGCUGAGCAUUGAUACUAAUGGGCAAAAAAGGUAUAAACAUUUGAAUCACUUAAAAAAAAAAACAUAAUCACACAUUUAUCAGUUGAGCCAAGUCACACCCCCCGCCAAGAGUCUAUGUGUACCUGUCUUCCUACAGCAUCUGCAAGAUCUGAAGUAGAGUUAUAAGAUAAAGACGGAAGAUUGAGGAUUAUCUUGUCUCAACUCCCCGUUUCACAGAGGAGUAACCUGAUGUCCCAAAAGGGUUUGCCAUGGCCAGAAGCUGCAUCACCUGGUGACCAGCCCAUUGCUAAUGACUCUCCAGGCUGGGAUGAGGCCAACCUUGCCCUUCAUACUCAGUCAUCAGAAAUGUACUUGCCAUGUCCUCAAAGAAGACACAGGGUACUGGUGGAGUCCAAAGCUUUUGCUCUCUUUAUCAGUGAAAAAUCGAUCAGUCAAAGUUCCAGAUACUACCUCCCUCCCCUUCCUGCCUCAAAAACACAUCAAAUCCUCCUCUGACACAGUUAAAAGAAAUCAAUGGACACAACACAAUCUUACAGUGAAUUCAGCACUCUGCACCUAGAUCAGCCCCUUUGUCUCUACAAGGCUACAUGGAGAAGAGGGAGAGAGAUGUCAAAAUUUGU